UUGACCUCGGAUCAGGUAGGGAUACCCGCUGAACUUAAGCAUAUCAAUAAGCGGAGGAAAAGAAACCAACAGGGAUUGCCUUAGUAACGGCGAGUGAAGCGGCAAUAGCUCAAAUUUGAAAGCUGGCCCCUUCGGGGUCCGCGUUGUAAUUUGUAGAGGAUGAUUCGGCGAGGGCUCCCGUCUAAGUCCCUUGGAACAGGGCGUCAUAGAGGGUGAGAAUCCCGUAUGUGAUGGGCUGCCUUAGCCAUGUGAAUCUCCUUCGACGAGUCGAGUUGUUUGGGAAUGCAGCUCUAAAUGGGAGGUAAAUUUCUUCUAAAGCUAAAUACCGGCCAGAGACCGAUAGCGCACAAGUAGAGUGAUCGAAAGAUGAAAAGCACUUUGGAAAGAGAGUUAAAAAGUACGUGAAAUUGUUGAAAGGGAAGCGCUUGCAGCCAGACUUGUCCGCAGUUGCUCAGCUUGUCUCCUGACAGGCGUACUCUUCUGCGGCCAGGCCAGCAUCAGUUCGGGCGGUCGGAUAAAGACCUGGGGAAUGUAGCUCCUCUCGGGGAGUGUUAUAGCCCUGGGUGCAAUGCGGCCAGCCUGGACUGAGGAUCUCGCUCGGCUAGGAUGCUGCGUA
rnacentral:rRNA from 1 species